rnacentral:rRNA from 1 species
CGAACUGUGCGAACGUUAUUCGGAAUCGACUGGGCUUACAGGGUGCGUAGGUGGCCGGACAAGUCAGGUGUGAAAUCCCUCAGCUCAACUGAGGAACUGCGCUUGAAACUGUUUGGCUAGAGUGAGCUAGGGGUGCUUGGAACUGCCAGUGGAGCGGUGAAAUGUGUUGAUAUUGGCAGGAACACCGGAGCCGAAAGGGAAGCACUGGGGCUUAACUGACACUGAGGCACGAAAGCCAGGGGAGCAAACGGGAUUAGAUACCCCGGUAGUCCUGGCCGUAAACUAUGAGAACUGGGCGGGGGAGUGCUUGCACAUCCCGGCCGUAGCGAAAGCGUUAAGUUCUCCGCCUGGGGAGUAUGGUCGCAAGGCUG